rnacentral:rRNA from 1 species
UACGGAGGGUGCGAGCGUUGUCCGGAAUCACUGGGCGUAAAGGGCGCGUAGGCGGCCCGGCAAGUCUGUGGUGAAAGCUCAGGGCUCAACUCUGAGUCGGCCACGGAUACUGCGGGGCUCGAGCACGGUAGAGGCAGGUGGAAUUCCGGGUGUAGCGGUGGAAUGCGUAGAGAUCCGGAAGAACACCUGUGGCGAAAGCGGCUCACUGGACCAUUACUGACGCUGAGGCACGAAAGCUAGGGGAGCAAACAGG